CUUAAUUUGGGCAGAGUUAAUAUUUACUUUGGGAGGUUUUUUUGGGGGGGAGGGGGGUUGUACAAAUUAGACUUGUUUCAAUUAUUUCCAGAAUAUCACUAUUAGAUUUUACAUUAUCUUUUCCAUAAAUAAAAUAUUCUAUGAUCAAAAUCAAUUUCCAGUUUAGUAACAUAAAUCAUAUGCAAAUUUGUUAUAUAUGUGUUUUAUAUACUGUUCUAGGGAGAAAAAUUCUAUUUUCAUCUGAUUCACAAAGGAGUCAUGACUCAAAAAGUUAAAGCUAUUGCUGGAGACUGAAUAAUAACUGUAGGUGGUCAGAGAAAUUACCAUGAAAAGGCAAAAAUAUUCUUCUAGUUCCAGAAACCUGGCACUACUUUAUUACUGUCAAAGAGCGAAGUGUUUAUGUAAACUUCAAAGACAAUUUGCAUUGAUUCCAUUUCCAAACUAUACUCUUUCACGUUGGAUUCAUAUUUCUCUUUUAAGUUGUUAUGAACAUAAAUUGUGUGUGGAGUGUGGGUAGGUGCAUGGGUGUAGUUUACUGAGCUGAUCAAUGGAGAAUCCAGUACACAGACGAUCUCAAGCCACCACCAGCUCAUCAUGUCUGUGUCUUUUCAGGAACUGACUGAAUGGGUUGUUUGGUGCAAUGGCAAGUGUUCUGGACUUUAGGUCUGGAGGUAAUGGCUAUUAUUAGUCUUUUCAUUAACAAGCUGUAGGACUCUGGCAAGUCCCUUCACCAGCUUAUCUUUUAUUUCCAUAAAAGGGGUUGAGGCACGGAGUCUCUGAUGUCACUUCUAGCUUUAAAAUUCUGUGGUUCUCACUCACGUCCCUAAUUAUCAUGCUUAAUAGAAGCCAUAAGUUUUGCUGCUUUAGUUUGAAAGGGCCUUUUUCAAACUGACAUUGAGAAUGCUAAAUACACUAUUUUAAAAUUUAGAUAAAGAAAUUAGCAGAUGAUAUUAAAAUACAGCAAAUCCCCAGUGACUUUUUCAGUCUAACAAUUACAGCUUCCCAUGAACUUUGACAUUUUCCUGAAUUGCAUAAAUUAUGUUUAUCAAUUCGCAGGUAAAUAUUUAUAUGCCUAAGUAAUGAUUCAACAAAACUAUGAGAAAUGAAGAGGAUAAUUUACACUCUAGAGUAGAUAUGUAUUUUUAAUUCAGCUUCAUUGAAGAAACUCUCCUUAAUAUCCUUAAUAUCUUCUUCAAUGUCUUAGAACAAAGGAAAGAGCUAUUUAUCCACUGCAAAGGCUGAAGUAUUCCAUGCAAGCUAUCACAUGGGUAUUCAAAAAACAUUACUGCAUUGUAUAAAUUCCUAUGUACUUAAUACUUGCUAUUAUUCACUGUAUUAAAUGUAUUAUGUAUAUUGUUUAAUUCUCACAACUGUUCUUUGACAUUAUCUCCAUUAUUUCUGGUCUCAAAGAAGUCAAGUAACUUAACCAUAGACAACAGCUAGUAAGGGACAGAGCCAGGAUUUGAACCUAAAAUUCUAAAGCCAGUGCCUUCAAUCUUGCUACCCUAGUAUCUCUGGCAACACUGCCCAGACAUAUCCACUACAUCUCAAAUACUUCAUCAUUUUUCACAGAUAAGGAAGCUGUUCACUUAACUUUGCUUUCUCCCUUGAGUGAUGCCUCUGCACACUGAACCCCUCCACAUGUCCCUCUAGCAACAUCCACUGAUACCUCAGGAACGAGAACGAAGUAGGUUUGGCCUCAAAUGUCAGUGUUCUCAAGCUCUGUAACAGGGCAACUGACACAUCAACAUGGCAUGUCUUUUGACAUCAAAAGCCCUAUCUCUUUUCUCUUGAUUAUAGACCACAUUUUUUCGUAAAUAUCUACCUCGUCUCUCCUUCCACCAUAAUUACCCAAUUGUCCCUACUCCAAUUUUCUCUAGAAGACAUCUACCUUCUAAAUGUGCUUUAGAAAAGUUUUGACCUUUACUGGUCUUUGAGAAAUUAAGAAAGAUUGGAGGCACUGCCCUGGACUAAUCCACUUCUGUCUUAGACUGGAUCUCUUGAAAACAUUCUGAGAUGAAGAAUUGUGUGCAUAAGGAUGGUUGGGGAGUGCUCUCAGGAGAUACACUGCAAAGAAGUGAGGAAAGGACUGAGGAAAGGAAGACCCAGUGAUAGGUCAGCCCUGGGGAGGGGUCUGGGUGCACUAUAACCCUUGUCAGACUGGUGGAUCUAAUUUGUGUCUUCAGUUUAAUUAUGUUUCUCUUCCAGAGAAAGGGCUUUUAAGGUUAUAAAGACCAGUCUGAAAUCUGACUAUGCAGAAUUUAAGAGCCUGAGCUUUCUCUCCUGGGAAAAUAAAUGGAAUAAAGAAAGGUUAUGAAAUAUGAAA
ensembl:lncRNA